CCCUGAGUAAAGUGGCGUACGGGUGAGUAACACGUGGGUAAUCCACCCUUUAGUGGGGAAUAACCCUGGGAAACCGGGGCUAAUACCGCAUAAGCCUGAGAAGGGAAAGCAGCAAUGCGCUGAAGGAGGAGCCCGCGGCCGAUUAGCUAGUUGGUGAGGUAACGGCCCACCAAGGCGAUGAUCGGUAGCUGGUCUGAGAGAGCGACCAGCCACACUGGGACUGAGAAACGGCCCAG
rnacentral:rRNA from 1 species